UUAAGCGACUAAGCGUACACGGUGGAUGCCCUGGCAGUCAGAGGCGAUGAAGGACGUGCUAAUCUGCGAUAAGCGUCGGUAAGGUGAUAUGAACCGUUAUAACCGGCGAUUUCCGAAUGGGGAAACCCAGUGUGUUUCGACACACUAUCAUUAACUGAAUCCAUAGGUUAAUGAGGCGAACCGGGGGAACUGAAACAUCUAAGUACCCCGAGGAAAAGAAAUCAACCGAGAUUCCCCCAGUAGCGGCGAGCGAACGGGGAGCAGCCCAGAGCCUGAAUCAGUAUGUGUGUUAGUGGAAGCGUCUGGAAAGGCGCGCGAUACAGGGUGACAGCCCCGUACACAAAAAUGCACAUGCUGUGAGCUCGAUGAGUAGGGCGGGACACGUGGUAUCCUGUCUGAAUAUGGGGGGACCAUCCUCCAAGGCUAAAUACUCCUGACUGACCGAUAGUGAACCAGUACCGUGAGGGAAAGGCGAAAAGAACCCCGGCGAGGGGAGUGAAAAAGAACCUGAAACCGUGUACGUACAAGCAGUGGGAGCACGCUUAGGCGUGUGACUGCGUACCUUUUGUAUAAUGGGUCAGCGACUUAUAUUCUGUAGCAAGGUUAACCGAAUAGGGGAGCCGAAGGGAAACCGAGUCUUAACUGGGCGUUAAGUUGCAGGGUAUAGACCCGAAACCCGGUGAUCUAGCCAUGGGCAGGUUGAAGGUUGGGUAACACUAACUGGAGGACCGAACCGACUAAUGUUGAAAAAUUAGCGGAUGACUUGUGGCUGGGGGUGAAAGGCCAAUCAAACCGGGAGAUAGCUGGUUCUCCCCGAAAGCUAUUUAGGUAGCGCCUCGUGAAUUCAUCUCCGGGGGUAGAGCACUGUUUCGGCAAGGGGGUCAUCCCGACUUACCAACCCGAUGCAAACUGCGAAUACCGGAGAAUGUUAUCACGGGAGACACACGGCGGGUGCUAACGUCCGUCGUGAAGAGGGAAACAACCCAGACCGCCAGCUAAGGUCCCAAAGUCAUGGUUAAGUGGGAAACGAUGUGGGAAGGCCCAGACAGCCAGGAUGUUGGCUUAGAAGCAGCCAUCAUUUAAAGAAAGCGUAAUAGCUCACUGGUCGAGUCGGCCUGCGCGGAAGAUGUAACGGGGCUAAACCAUGCACCGAAGCUGCGGCAGCGACGCUUAUGCGUUGUUGGGUAGGGGAGCGUUCUGUAAGCCUGUGAAGGUGUGCUGUGAGGCAUGCUGGAGGUAUCAGAAGUGCGAAUGCUGACAUAAGUAACGAUAAAGCGGGUGAAAAGCCCGCUCGCCGGAAGACCAAGGGUUCCUGUCCAACGUUAAUCGGGGCAGGGUGAGUCGACCCCUAAGGCGAGGCCGAAAGGCGUAGUCGAUGGGAAACAGGUUAAUAUUCCUGUACUUGGUGUUACUGCGAAGGGGGGACGGAGAAGGCUAUGUUGGCCGGGCGACGGUUGUCCCGGUUUAAGCGUGUAGGCUGGUUUUCCAGGCAAAUCCGGAAAAUCAAGGCUGAGGCGUGAUGACGAGGCACUACGGUGCUGAAGCAACAAAUGCCCUGCUUCCAGGAAAAGCCUCUAAGCAUCAGGUAACAUCAAAUCGUACCCCAAACCGACACAGGUGGUCAGGUAGAGAAUACCAAGGCGCUUGAGAGAACUCGGGUGAAGGAACUAGGCAAAAUGGUGCCGUAACUUCGGGAGAAGGCACGCUGAUAUGUAGGUGAAGUCCCUCGCGGAUGGAGCUGAAAUCAGUCGAAGAUACCAGCUGGCUGCAACUGUUUAUUAAAAACACAGCACUGUGCAAACACGAAAGUGGACGUAUACGGUGUGACGCCUGCCCGGUGCCGGAAGGUUAAUUGAUGGGGUUAGCGCAAGCGAAGCUCUUGAUCGAAGCCCCGGUAAACGGCGGCCGUAACUAUAACGGUCCUAAGGUAGCGAAAUUCCUUGUCGGGUAAGUUCCGACCUGCACGAAUGGCGUAAUGAUGGCCAGGCUGUCUCCACCCGAGACUCAGUGAAAUUGAACUCGCUGUGAAGAUGCAGUGUACCCGCGGCAAGACGGAAAGACCCCGUGAACCUUUACUAUAGCUUGACACUGAACAUUGAGCCUUGAUGUGUAGGAUAGGUGGGAGGCUUUGAAGUGUGGACGCCAGUCUGCAUGGAGCCGACCUUGAAAUACCACCCUUUAAUGUUUGAUGUUCUAACGUUGACCCGUAAUCCGGGUUGCGGACAGUGUCUGGUGGGUAGUUUGACUGGGGCGGUCUCCUCCUAAAGAGUAACGGAGGAGCACGAAGGUUGGCUAAUCCUGGUCGGACAUCAGGAGGUUAGUGCAAUGGCAUAAGCCAGCUUGACUGCGAGCGUGACGGCGCGAGCAGGUGCGAAAGCAGGUCAUAGUGAUCCGGUGGUUCUGAAUGGAAGGGCCAUCGCUCAACGGAUAAAAGGUACUCCGGGGAUAACAGGCUGAUACCGCCCAAGAGUUCAUAUCGACGGCGGUGUUUGGCACCUCGAUGUCGGCUCAUCACAUCCUGGGGCUGAAGUAGGUCCCAAGGGUAUGGCUGUUCGCCAUUUAAAGUGGUACGCGAGCUGGGUUUAGAACGUCGUGAGACAGUUCGGUCCCUAUCUGCCGUGGGCGCUGGAGAACUGAGGGGGGCUGCUCCUAGUACGAGAGGACCGGAGUGGACGCAUCACUGGUGUUCGGGUUGUCAUGCCAAUGGCACUGCCCGGUAGCUAAAUGCGGAAGAGAUAAGUGCUGAAAGCAUCUAAGCACGAAACUUGCCCCGAGAUGAGUUCUCCCUGACUCCUUGAGAGUCCUGAAGGAACGUUGAAGACGACGACGUUGAUAGGCCGGGUGUGUAAGCGCAGCGAUGCGUUGAGCUAACCGGUACUAAUGAACCGUGAGGCUUAACCUU
rnacentral:rRNA from 1 species